rnacentral:lncRNA from 1 species
GAUGUCAAACGCUGCCUUUGGGGGAUCUUGGCCCAAUCUUGAACUUACUGAUUCUGCUCCACCACGGCUGAGAGGUCACGUAUCUUCUGAGGAAAUGAAGGCUGGAACUGUGCUGUCUUGUUUACCACUCUGACGCCCAGCCCAGAGCAGGGCCUGGAUGUAACGCUGAUGAGAAGACUGGAGCUCAGAGACACUCAGAGAGUCGGCAGAGGUCACACAGUAAGAAGAGAACACCAAGUCAAUCCCAGAUUUUGAGAGCACUCUUUCCAGGACAACCCAGCAGCUCACACCUUAAACCAGCUCUGUCCUGGACAGGAUUGGUGCUCCACUCAGAUCCACUCAGAUCCCUUUAUGCCAGGUCUGAGUGUCCCACCAUCUACCCCAGCCUGCCUGUCCAUCCACCACCACCUGACGGUCUCUGUGACUCUUCUUUGGAGCACUGCCCUUUUUUGGGGGGUUUUGCUUUUCUUUGAUGCUGCAGGCUCUCUGCUGGCCCUUCUGGAGGACCAGGAGCACCUGAGCAUUUCUCCCAGGCAGCCCUUCACUGGUGACUGUCGGGAGGACAUGUAGGAAAGCCCAGCCCCUUUCCUAGGCGGGGACAACUCGGGGAUGUGACUCACACUCCAGGGCUCCCGGAGGGAUCGGGCUGAGGCCACCUUCCACAGGAGUUUGCUGAAAUUGUGCUUCGUUUGGCUUCCUCCCCUUCCAUGUCCUGCCUCCCUCACCCACUUCCUCAUCCCCCCUGGGACACACAAGUCCUGUCUCAGGGUCUUCAUCUGGGAAACCCAACCCAAGACCGAGUCCCCUUGAAGAUGCGUGCCCUGCCACAAGGCUGGUCUUCUGCCCCGGGUCCUGGCACAGCGGGAGCCAGGCAGCACCCAGAGCGUGAAUGGAGAAUCACGCCUGGGGGACAUCCCAAAGGCAGCAGCUGCGUGGCUUUGGGAACAGCUGGGAGUGGGAGCAGGGAUGGACACUCUACGGCAACAGGGAUGAGGAGAAGAGAAUGAGGCUCUUUGGCCUUCUGUGACCUUCAUUAUUUUAUUGUUACACCGUU